GAGGCGAAAUACCCAAAAAGAAGUUUGUAAAAAAUGAAUCCGCCUCAACAAUAUAGAACUUAUCUAAAACUAGAGUCGCUCCAAUGAAAACCACAACUAUUCCUAGAUUGGAAUUGUGCGCAGCAUUUCUUCUUGCGGAACUUUAUCAAAGGGUCAUUGGGUAUUUAAACAUUUCUUUUGAUAAAAGUUUCUUCUGGAGUGAUUCAACCAUUGUGUUGUCGUGGAUAAGAUCUCAAUCGCACGAAUUUAAAACAUUUGUUGAGAACAGAAUCGCUCAAAUUCAGUCGAUAACAGAUCCAAAGGAUUGGAACUAUGUACCUAGUAAAGAAAAUCCCGCAGACCUAUUAUCUAGAGGGGUUAGCCCUGGUUAGUAGUACUUUAUGGUGGAAUGGUUCUACGUGGUUGAUCCAGCCAGUUGAUUUUUGGCCUGAAGCACUUCCUCAUCUAGAAGCAAAUAACUUGCCGGAAAAACAUUAAAGACUUCCUUAAGACAAUUUGGUCCGUUUCAAGUGACAAGGUGUUAAGGUCAAGUCUACUUUAGUUGGUGAGAUGCGCACAGCAUGAUGCGAGGAUACACAGGGCAUUAUUCGCGUUGGUGGUAGAUUGACCCACUCCGCAUUUUCUGAGAAAAGGAAGUUUCCGGCAAUUCUCCUGGCUAAACAUAGAUUAACACUACUAAUCAUCAAACAUGAACAUCACCGUUUGCUUCAUGCUGGUCCUCAGCACCUCCUAGCGUCACUAAGAGAGCGGUUUUGGCCACUUUCUGGUCGAAAUCUAGUAAGAAAGGUUGUCAGGGAAUGUUUGCGAUGUUUCAGAUUCAAUUCUUCACAAAUUGAAUAUCUAAUGGGCAGCUUACCAAAGGAACGUUUAACUCCCAGUCGACCAUUCCUUGUCACCGGAGGGGACUACAUGGGUCCUGUAAUGAUAAAGGAUAGGUCAACCAGGAACUACAAGAUGGUAAAGGCCUGGGUAUGCUUAUUAAUUUGUUUCUCAACUCGGGCAAUGCAUCUAGAAUUUGUUGGUGAUUUGGCUGCCUUACGACGUUUUUUUCUCGAGACGUGGCCUUAGUUCCGAUAUAUUUUCUGAACAUGGUACUAAUUUUAUUGGGGCUCAAAACGAGAUCCAAAAAAUGUUAAGAAUAAAUCAUAGUGACAUUCAAUCCAAACUCAGUAUAGACGGUAUCAGGUGGCAUUUUAUUCCUCCCAGGGCUCCGCAUUUUGGAGGACUCUGGGAGGCAGGGGUUAAAUCAACUAAACAUCAUCUGAAGAGGGUAAUUUCUGGUAAUAUUUUAUCAUUUGAAGAAUUGUGUACGGUACUAACGCAAAUUGAAGCUUGUCUUAACUCUAGACCUGUAAGUCCCAUGAGUUCUGAUUCCUCCGACCCUCAACCAUUAACUCCUGCGCACUUCUUCAUAGGGGAGCGGCUUACAAAUUUGCCAGAUAACGACUAUUGCCAAAUCCCAGAAAAUAGACUCUCAAAAUUCCAAAGACUGUAGCAGAUCACUCAAGGCUUUUGGGCUCGCUGGUUUAAGGAAUAUGUUGUUGAACUUCAACAACGAACAAAAUGGAAAGGGAAUGCAGUCAACUUAUUAUCUCCUGGAUCCCUAGUGCCGAUAAAGGAAGAUGGACUACCUCCACUUAAAUGGAUGAUGGGAGUUGUUCAAGAGGUGCACCCUGGUGCCGAUGGGGUAAUACGUACAGCCACUAUCAAGACAGCAUCGUCCACUCUAAAGCGCCCAGUCAUCAAGCUCCAUUGCCACCGGCGGAUGUUUGAACCCUUUUGGCUUUCAAGGCGGGCGGUAUGUUCGCGCCUCCCAAGUUUUGAUAGACGUAAAGUGACAAGAGAAAAAUUUUGAGCGCAUGUAACAGAUAAUCGCUAAAAUAUUGUAAUAUGAAAA